rnacentral:rRNA from 1 species
GACGUAGGGGCCAGCGUUGUUCGGAAUUACUGGGUGUAAAGGGUUCGUAGGCGGUGCGGCAAGUUGGGAGUGAAAUCUCUGGGCUUAACCCAGAGGCUGCUUCCAAAACUGCUGUGCUUGAGUGUGGGAGAGGCUCGUGGAAUUGCAGGUGUAGCGGUGAAAUGCGUAGAUAUCUGCAGGAACACCCGUGGCGAAAGCGGCGAGCUGGACCACUACUGACGCUGAAGAACGAAAGCUAGGGGAGCAAACAGG